UGUAAGAUGCCUGAAAAAAAGGAUUAUUUUGAUAGAAUAAAUUAUACACUUAGUGUUCUUAUAA
rnacentral:tRNA from 1 species